AGUGAACGCUGGCGGUAGGCCUAACACAUGCAAGUCGAACGGCAGCACAGUAAGAGCUUGCUCUUACGGGUGGCGAGUGGCGGACGGGUGAGGAAUACAUCGGAAUCUACUUUUUCGUGGGGGAUAACGUAGGGAAACUUACGCUAAUACCGCAUACGACCUACGGGUGAAAGCAGGGGAUCUUCGGACCUUGCGCGAUUGAAUGAGCCGAUGUCGGAUUAGCUAGUUGGCGGGGUAAAGGCCCACCAAGGCGACGAUCCGUAGCUGGUCUGAGAGGAUGAUCAGCCACACUGGAACUGAGACACGGUCCAGACUCCUACGGGAGGCAGCAGUGGGGAAUACUGGACAAUGGGCGCAAGCCUGAUCCAGCCAUACCGCGUGGGUGAAGAAGGCCUUCGGGUUGUAAAGCCCUUUUGUUGGGAAAGAAAAGCAGCAGGUUAAUACCCCGCUGUUCUGACGGUACCCAAAGAAUAUGCACCGGCUAACUUCGUG
rnacentral:rRNA from 1 species